CACAUGACAACCUGCUGUCACAUGACUUAGGAUGGAUCAGGAUGGCACCGUUACGAUGCCAAAGUGGACGCAAAGAUGCACAAACAUAACAGGCAUGGCUCACUAACUGGUUUUGCGGACUAACUUCUCCGCGUCUGGAUACUAACGAUUCGGCAGCACCAGGGAAGAUUAUGAUAAUGGAAAGCCUGGGAAACAUUCGCGGCCUGUGUCCUUUGGGCAGCACUCUUCAUCCCGUUCCAACCAAUCUGAAGCACCAGAGAGAGAUGCUAAGCCCUCAGUGCAGUUACUUCUAAAACCUGGAGCGCAAGGAGGAAAAUGAGAUCAAGACACUGCCAAAUGCUUUAGCAAUAGCGGUUACAACUCUUCAUCUAAUCAACCCGGGAUGACAAAUCCAGAAAUGUUGAAAUUGUUUCCGAAAAGGUGCGGCCGGGCCUACGAUGUCAAGCUCAAAAGCUUCCUCUCCUGUCCUCCUUGGCGAGUAGAUCUUAUCCUGGCAUGUUUUAGCCUGCGCGUUGCCCAGACACUGCAGACUGCACCCACAUACUCUGCCUACCCCUUGCCUGUCACGACGAGAAAAAAAAAUAAAAUAAAGUUGGC